UCAGGUGGUUUUAGCGGCAGGGCUCCACCUCUUCCCAUUCCGAACAGAGAAGUUAAACCUGCCAGCGCCGAUGGUACUGCAUUUGUGGGAGAGUAGGUCGCCGCCGAUC
rnacentral:rRNA from 1 species